rnacentral:misc_RNA from 1 species
UUUCCGUAGGUGAACCUGCGGAAGGAUCAUUAGUGAACGCCCUCACGGGCUUAUACCUAUUCCACGCCUCUGUCACCCGUGCCCUUCGGGGCUAUUUUCCACACAUGGUGUACUGAACUUCAUAUCUCCUACCAAAACAAAACUUUCACCAACGGAUCUCUUGGCUCUC